UUAGGCUUGACUGUUAGUAUUGAAUCUCUUAGCUAGUUCAUUAGCUAAACUUGUAUAAAUGAGAUGGUUCGGUCAUUUGGAUUAUUAGAGGUAAUGAAAUAAAACAAGUAGACACUUUCUUCAUUUUCCUCUCUUCUUUUAUGUUUUUGCAUUUAUUCAAACACCCAUAGUAUCUAUUAAACCUUCCACCCAUGACAUCAGCAUUAGCCACCAACAACAAAGCUUCACUCUACAAUCAAAGACGAAAAUCAAAAAGAAAAAAAAUGGAAAAAC
rnacentral:lncRNA from 1 species